rnacentral:rRNA from 1 species
AACGAACGCUGGCGGCAGGCCUAACACAUGCAAGUCGAACGAGAAGCCACCUUCGGGUGGUGGACAGUGGCAGACGGGUGAGUCACGCGUGGGAACGUGCCUUUCGGUUCGGAAUAACCCAGGGAAACUUGGGCUAAUACCGGAUACGCCCUUCGGGGGAAAGAUUCAUCGCCGAAAGAUCGGCCCGCGUCGGAUUAGCUAGUUGGUGGGGUAAUGGCUCACCAAGGCGACAAUCCGUAGCUGGUCUGAGAGGAUGCCCAGCCACACUGGGACUGAGACACGGCCCAGACUCCUACGGGAGGCAGCAGUGGGGAAUAUUGGACAAUGGGCGAAAGCCUGAUCCAGCCAUGCCGCGUGGGUGAAGAAGGCCUUAGGGUUGUAAACCCCUUUCAGCGGGGAAGAUAAUGACGGUACCCGCAGAAGAAGUCCCGGCUAACUCCGUGCCAGCCGCCGCUGUAACAC